GACAGUUGGAAGCGAGGGGGAAGUGAAGAUAAAGUUUGAUAGGUAUAAAAGGUUUUCUUAGAUAAAAAUAAAAAAAAACUCCAAAACCAAGAUAAUGGGAAUUACAGCUAAAUCAACAAAGACUAAAGGAAACUUCAAGUGUAUCUUAGAGGUCUACCUAGAAGAUUUUCGGUGACAUCAUUUGAACAAAUAUGUUGUUGUUAACGUUGAGAAACCUCUUUGCUUGCAGUUGUAUAUUUUAUUUGGCCAAAGAUGGACUCAUGUCUAAUACAUCACAUGUCCAUUGGUGAUAUUAUUUAAGAUGGAAAUUCCAAAACUCACAAAUACCGAACAGCCAAAUGUUCCAAUGUUGGACUAGUAUACUAAACAUGCAAUAUAUCUCCUCCU